rnacentral:tRNA from 2 species
GCCGACCGGCCCGGCUUCCUCGGCACCGGCGGCUUCGGCCCGCUGGACAACGUCAGCGUGCUGGAGCGCUGGGAGGGCG